rnacentral:rRNA from 1 species
CCUACGGGAGGCAGCAGUCGGGAAUAUUGGGCAAUGGAGGAAACUCUGACCCAGCAAUACCGCGUGAAUGAUGAAGGUUUUCGGAUUGUAAAGUUCUGUUAGAAAGGAAGAAAAAAAUGACGGUACUUUACAAGUAAGCCCCGGCAAACUACGUGCCAGCAGCCGCGGUGAUACGUAGGGGGCAAGCGUUGUCCGGAAUGACUGGGUGUAAAGGGUGUGUAGGUGGCUUAUUAAGUUAGAGGUGAAAGGCCGAAGCUCAACUUCGGAACUGCCUUUGAAACUGGUUGGCUUGAGUGUGGGAGAGGUUAGUGGAACUCCUAGUGUAGCGGUGGAAUGCGUAGAUAUUAGGAAGAACAUCAGUGGCGAAGGCGACUAACUGGAACGUUACUGACGCUGAGGCACGAAAGCGUGGGGAGCAAACAGGAUUAGAUACCCGAGUAGUC